GUUUUUAUGGUUGAAUACAACACUGGUUCUUCGGGUCAGGGGUUUUGGUUAAAAUCCAAAUAAAAAUU
rnacentral:tRNA from 1 species